CCUACGGGAGGCAGCAGUAGGGAAUCUUCCACAAUGGACGAAAGUCUGAUGGAGCAACGCCGCGUGAGUGAAGAAGGGUUUCGGCUCGUAAAGCUCUGUUGGUAGUGAAGAAAGAUAGAGGUAGUAACUGGCCUUUAUUUGACGGUAAUUACUUAGAAAGUCACGGCUAACUACGUGCCAGCAGCCGCGGUAAUACGUAGGUGGCAAGCGUUGUCCGGAAUUAUUGGGCGUAAAGCGGGUGCAGGCGGUAUGAUAAGUCUGAUGUGAAAACCUCCGGCUCAACCGGAGAAUUGCAUCAGAUAAUGGCUGGCGUGAGUCUGGGAGAGGGGGGUAGAAUGUCAGGGGGAG
rnacentral:rRNA from 1 species